rnacentral:rRNA from 1 species
UACAGAGGUCUCAAGCGUUGUUCGGAUUCAUUGGGCGUAAAGGGUGCGUAGGUGGCGCCGUAAGUCGGGUGUGAAAUUUCGGAGCUUAACUCCGAAACUGCAUUCGAUACUGCAGUGCUUGAGGACUGGAGAGGAGACUGGAAUUCAUGGUGUAGCAGUGAAAUGCGUAGAGAUCAUGAGGAAGACCAGUGGCGAAGGCGGGUCUCUGGACAGUUCCUGACACUGAGGCACGAAGGCCAGGGGAGCAAACGGG